rnacentral:lncRNA from 1 species
GCUGCCUCCCGAAGCCGACUCAAGGACUGGGGACUUGGUGGAUCUAUGGCAUUGGUACCCACAGAGGUCACCUGCACAGAUAAAUCUGUCGCCACCCUUCAACCCUGGCCUACCGGAUCUGCGGGGAGAAAUGCAGCAUUUGAAUUGGGGAGUGUUCAGUCCUGCUCUGCGGGGCAUUUAUUUACAAAUAUCAGCUGCAACCCAGCCUUGAUAACGUCUCAUACAGUCAGAGGACUUUGCGGGAAGCACACUUCCUCCUUGUUUGGGGCUACAGGGAAAGCCCAGGAAAGCGAGUCCCAGAAGGCCUGGGACAGCUACACCCAGUUCACCCAUGCUCAACCCGGAACAGCCGACCCAAACGGUCAGGAAGGACUUUCUGGAAGCCCAUCUUCGUAUGCUCACCAGCCCACCCUCCUACGCUGGUCAGAGUGAGAUUGCUAACCUCAAGACCCCAUUCAAUGCCAGCUUUCAACUACUGCUGAAGACCAAUGUAGGUCCUGGAAUAGAAGAACUGCAGAGUAUCCGGAGCUGGCCGACCCCAGACUGAUUCUCAACAGGUGGCUGGGUAGUGCCCCCCACCCUGUGUUGGUCGUGCGGGACCCAUCGCACACAGAGAAGCCACCUUACCCCUCACCUCACCCCGUCGGCCAAAGACUGACCACCCGCGCCCGAGUGUGGGGAGGGGUGGGAAUUCCGGAUCACACACACACACACACACACACACACACACCAGGGUAGGGGAACAGGGAAGAUCUUACCUGCAGAAAGGUAAGAGAAGCCGGGAGCGUGUA